AAAGUCGUAACAAGGUCUCCGUUGGUGAACCAGCGGAGGGAUCAUUACUGAGUUUACAACUCCCAAACCCAUGUGAACAGUACCUAUCGUUGCCUCGGCGGGAAUCGCCCCGGUCCUCGUGGCCGGAACCAGGCGCCCGCCGGAGGGACCUAAACUCUGUCUCUGCACCAGUGGCAUCUUCUGAGUGGAUAAAACAAAUUAUCAAAACUUUCAACAACGGAUCUCUUGGUUCUG
rnacentral:misc_RNA from 1 species